UGACUAUGAUGUGGUCAGUCUUGAAGAAGAGCUUUGAACCUCUCCCAAGCAUGAUACAAGUUCUCAUCUGGCCUCUACUUAAAGCUCAAAAUCUCACUACGAAGUCU
rfam:Capsicum annuum cultivar Zunla-1 chromosome 8, whole genome shotgun sequence